CUGUCCCCAUUGUCUCAGAUGGGAAUACCUCCUUAAGGUUGCCAUACAGAUUCAGCCAUCUCUCCUGACUUUCUCAUACACACAAACGUUCGGCUCAGCUGAGUAUGUAUGUGUAUUCAAUGGGGAGACUACAGUAAGACACCUUUGGCGGUGGCUUAUCUCAUGGGAGAACAUAAGGAUAGAGGGAAAAUAUUCAACUUGCCCGAUCCUUCUCUCCUCCGAAAUCAUCUGAUAGUUGGAAGUUCCCUACACACAAACUGUCAGCCAAAUGCGCCAUUCUCAACGAAAAUGUGUAUGGGGAACUUUAGGCUCCUUUCACACUGAGCUUACAGGGUCUGAAGAUUACCUGAUGGAAACCCCUGGUGCAUACAUUAAGCACAUGCCAUAUAAUGGUAUCUGUCCCCCAUAAGCGACCAUGCUUAAAUACAGUAUACCGUACUGGAUAGCUCUGUAUGAAAUAGUGCAGCGGCUGCUGUGCCAUUCCAUGCAGUAAAAAUACCUGCCCAACAAAAGCCAAGUAACGCUUUUGGCAGAAUAAUGGGGGCUUAUGCAUCCAUUUAACGUAUGCGGCGAGAGCUUUCCUGUUGCAUACGUUAAACAUACAGAGUGUGAAAACAGCCCAACGGUGGCAUCGAUCACUCAUAGACUACAACUGCAUCCAUAUAACAAUUAAUUCAUGAGAAGCUAUUGACAAGCUUAGGAAAAAUGUAAUGUGAACAUAAUCGCUAAUGGAAGUUAAUGGAAACAGGAUCCAUCUGUCACACCAGCAUUGUAAUGUGUCAUCUGAACAUGGCCCAACAGUGCUCUGGGCAGUCACCAGACAGUCACAGUUUGUGGGAUCAACCUGAUCAACAGGAAAACAAGUAAUAAAGUGGUUCUCCAACCACUUGUCAUGGAGCUCCCACAAAUAGAUUGUUACAGGAGCAGCCACAAUCCAAAAGAGGAUUAAGCAAACCAGACAAACCUUCAAACCAGGUACAUACUGCUUGUGUGAUACCCACUGCCACCAGAUUAGAAAAAGGCAACCAUCCCAGAGUACUGCUGGUAUUGUAAGACAUUUAGUAAAGUCACACCCAAUAUACAAAGCAUACAAGAAAGUGCGAGCGAGCAAGCAAGCAAAGCACGUAAAUGCACAGCGUGGAUUAAAUAUGAUUAGCUUGUCAGACUGGCAAAGCAUUCUGAAGCUGCAGGAUUAAUGACUAGUACACUACUGUGAUCCUCAGUGACUCCACAACUGAAGAACACAGAAAUUUAAGUUACGAAAACCUAAAAUAGAUAUUCCCAUCUCAGACACUCAUGGCAAAUCGCAAUUUCCCUUACAGCGUGCCAUUUUUCAUGAGUUUUUGCCUGUCUGGGGUAGGCUUAUAACAAUCGCCUAUAUUUACCCCCUUUCUACCAAUAAAUGUGAUGGUCCUAAUGCCACUAUCAAUCACAGCUACAUUUCUCAGUAGAUUUCUAUUUUGCCGUGAAUCCUUCUUUAUGGAGUGAAUACUGACAUUGGUAUAUAUGAUACAUUUGGCCCACACUAGAUGGCUUGUAAUUUUGGCGCAGACUGAUGCAAUCCAGCUGGUUGUUCCUGCAGAGAACCGAUCAGGAGUCGGCCAGACAAACACUGUUGCUCGCAGAGAUAUUUGUCCAGUCAAAUCCCAGCAUAAAUGCCAGGGUGCGGCCAGAUCCCCUGCAGAUAACAUUAUAGUCGAUGGGGUCUGGCAGGCAUGCACCACUAUCAGGCUAUACCGGAUCCAGAGAACUCUGGCAGGCUGUUCCUCUGUUAGAACAGCCUGCUGGAUUGCUUUAAAGCGUA